rnacentral:piRNA from 1 species
UCNGCUUUACUUGGAGCUUUACUUUACAGC